rnacentral:rRNA from 1 species
UGGGGAAUUUUGGACAAUGGGGGAAACCCUGAUCCAGCCAUCCCGCGUGUGCGAUGAAGGCCUUCGGGUUGUAAAGCACUUUUGGCAGGAAAGAAACGUCAUGGGUUAAUACCCCGUGAAACUGACGGUACCUGCAGAAUAAGCACCGGCUAACUACGUGCCAGCAGCCGCGGUAAUACGUAGGGUGCAAGCGUUAAUCGGAAUUACUGGGCGUAAAGCGUGCGCAGGCGGUUCGGAAAGAAAGAUGUGAAAUCCCAGAGCUCAACUUUGGAACUGCAUUUUUAACUACCGGGCUAGAGUGUGUCAGAGGGAGGUGGAAUUCCGGGUGUAGCAGUGAAAUGCGUAGAUAUGCGGAGGAAAACCGAUGGCGAAGGCAGCCUCCUGGGAUAACACUGACGCUCAUGGACGAAAGCGUGGGGAGCAAACAGG